AUAGGCUUCCUCUUGAAUGUGGAGGGAAUUACAGGAUAAGUAAAUAGGAACAUGGUGGCCAUGUGGGCUGCUGCCCCUGGAUACUACUUGGAGACCAGCCUGGCAUGGAAAUGACCAGAUGUUUGAAACUGAGCUACUGCUCAAGGUAUUAGUGCUUGAAAGAUUUUCCGUGUUUGAAGGGAUUUUUAUGGUGCUGGCCUAGCAGUUGACCUUUCUGUGGUGGAUUGCGAACAUUCUUCAAAACUGUGGCCGACACCCAAGCUUGCUGCCAUGUUUUGAGCUGCCUUGGGAAGUGGCCAAUGCAGCAAGGAAUUGAGAGAGCCAGCAGGAAAACGAGACCCUCAAUACAGCAAGAGACCGAAUCCUGCCAACAACCACGUGAGUGACUAUGUCCUUCCCCAGCCAAGACUUCAGAUGAGACUGCAGCCCCAACCAACACAUUAGCUCUUGCCUUGUAAGAAACCUUAGAACAGAGGCAGCAAGCUAAGUCACACACAGA